rnacentral:rRNA from 1 species
AUUGAACGCUGGCGGAAUGCUUUACACAUGCAAGUCGAACGGCAGCACGGGGGCAACCCUGGUGGCGAGUGGCGAACGGGUGAGUAAUACAUCGGAACGUGCCCAGUCGUGGGGGAUAACGUAGCGAAAGUUACGCUAAUACCGCAUACGAUCUACGGAUGAAAGCGGGGGACCGUAAGGCCUUGCGCGAUUGGAGCGGCCGAUGUCAGAUUAGGUAGUUGGUGAGGUAAAGGCUCACCAAGCCGACGAUCUGUAGCUGGUCUGAGAGGACGACCAGCCACACUGGGACUGAGACACGGCCCAGACUCCUAGGGGAGGCAGCAGUGGGGAAUUUUGGACAAUGGGCGCAAGCCUGAUCCAGCCAUUCCGCGUGCAGGACGAAGGCCUUCGGGUUGUAAACUGCUUUUGUACGGAACGAAAAGGCUCUGGUUAAUACCUGGGGCUCAUGACGGUACCGUAAGAAUAAGCACCGGCUAACUACGUGCCAGCCGCCGCGGUAA